UAAUGAGCUUCCACAGCUUUAUUGCUUCUGGACCAACCAGAAGAGCCUUGGAUGUGUUGUUCCAACAAUCCCAUUGAUACGGGAUUCGAGGACAGCACCAUCACGUAGUAUUUCAGCACUGUUGCCUGUGGUCCAGGCUAGAAACGAGAAAGGACUAAAAACGUGAAGAUAUGUAGCUGCCUUUUCCUCAUCGAAGAUCUCCAGAGUUGUUGAAGUUUGGGGUUGGUUCAAAUUGUGGGCAAAACUUCAGGUCUUUUUUAUUUUAUUUUAUUUUUUAACUUUUUUUAACCUGAAACACAGCUCGCCUGUUCCUGAAAUCACAGUUUUUCAUUGGCUCCUUCCAGAAACUUGGCAUGCUUGAGACAGGCUACAAAAAGCUUUUUGUUUCCAUAUUUAGGUUUCUUAUUUUCUUUACAGGUCGGGGGAGGGUACCUGGAGGUCAGAGGACUUUCGGAGGUUAUGAUGGUGGUCUGGCCCUGAGAAUAUGGCUCGCAUGCAGCCAGGAUGAAGUGGCCUGUGUUUCACAUGCUCUGUCUCUCCAUCUGAGCAUCUUCCCUGCACAAUCCACUGUCAUAAGGGGACACCCAAGGCACGUGGUGACCAACCUGGGGUGCAGUACUCUUUACCUUGCUCCUCCCUGCCGGAGAUCCGCAGCCCUGCUCCUCGGACUUCUUCCACCAACCUGCAUAUUCAACUUGCACCAGCCGCUCAGUAUAAAGUCCCUUGGCUGCUGCAAAAUCUUUGACCUAAGCCACCAGAGCUGGAGCUGGGACCUGAGAAAGUCUACCUGCCUGACAUCAGUGAUGUUCCAUGAGGUCAGCAUGGCAUGUCUGUGACAUCACGGCAGGUCAGGACAAGUUGACUUGUAUGGAGCAGAUGUGAAUACAUUUGAAUUAAAAUAUCUGAAUCACUGAAUGCCCGUUUUCUGCAAAAUGCUACCCCAUUAAUCUUUCUGGCAGCAAGAGAGAGACCCACCUUGGAAGUGUCUCCUUAUACGAUGCUGAGGCUGUAAAGACCAGAAGCUAAGUGACAGGCAGAGGGUGGAAGGAAACUGUUCUGAGUUUGUUCAGAAAACCUCUCUUUGCAAACUCUGCUUGCAGCAAAAGGGGCGAUGGAUGCGGCAAUCACCAGGUCAAGGAUGGGUGGUGUUUGUUCCUGCCAGUCAAGGGAUCCACCCAUUCGUGGUGAGCAGGUGGAAGUCCAGCAAAUUAAGGAAAAUAAAUGUCUCCCCAUCCACUAGGACCA
rnacentral:lncRNA from 1 species